rnacentral:rRNA from 1 species
AACGAACGCUGGCGGCAUGCCUAACACAUGCAAGUCGAACGCAAGGCCUCGGCCUUGAGUGGCGCACGGGUGAGUAGCGCGUGGGAACCUGCCCUGGAGUGGGGGAUAACCGAGGGAAACUUCGGCUAAUACCGCAUGCGCCCGGAGCAAUCCGGGGAAAGAUUUAUCGCUCUAGGAGGGGCCCGCGUCGGAUUAGCUAGUUGGUGGGGUAACGGCCUACCAAGGCGAUGAUCCGUAGCUGGUCUGAGAGGAUGAUCAGCCACACUGGGACUGAGACACGGCCCAGACUCCUACGGGAGGCAGCAGUGGGAAUAUUGGACAAUGGGCGAAAGCCUGAUCCAGCAAUGCCGCGUGAGUGAGGAAGGCCUUAGGGUUGUAAAGCUCUUUCGGCGGGGACGAUGAUGACGGUACCCGCAGAAGAAGCCCCGGCUAACUUCGUGCCAGCAGCCGCCGUAAAAC